GUUUGAUCAUGGCUCAGAUUGAACGCUGGCGGCAGGCCUAACACAUGCAAGUCGAGCGCGAAAACACUUCGGUGUGAGUAGAGCGGCGGACGGGUGAGUAAUGCUUGGGAAUCUGCCCAAUAGUGGGGGAUAACGUGUGGAAACGCACGCUAAUACCGCAUACGUCCUACGGGAGAAAGCAGGGGAUCUUCGGACCUUGCGCUAUUGGAUGAGCCCAAGUCAGAUUAGCUAGUUGGUGGGGUAAUGGCUCACCAAGGCGACGAUCUGUAGCUGGUCUGAGAGGAUGAUCAGCCACACUGGGACUGAGACACGGCCCAGACUCCUACGGGAGGCAGCAGUGGGGAAUAUUGCACAAUGGGCGAAAGCCUGAUGCAGCCAUGCCGCGUGUGUGAAGAAGGCUCUAGGGUUGUAAAGCACUUUCAGUGGGGAGGAAAAGUUCAAAACUAAUAUUUUUGAACCUUGACGUUACCUGCAGAAGAAGCACCGGCAAACUCCGUGCCAGCAGCCGCGGUAAUACGGAGGGUGCGAGCGUUAAUCGGAAUUACUGGGCGUAAAGCGCGCGUAGGUGGUUUGAUAAGCUAGCUGUGAAAGCCCUGGGCUCAACCUGGGAACUGCAGUUAGAACUGUCUGGCUAGAGUAUAGUAGAGGGUGGCGGAAUUUCCUGUGUAGCGGUGAAAUGCGUAGAUAUAGGAAGGAACAUCAGUGGCGAAGGCGGCCACCUGGACUAAUACUGACACUGAGGUGCGAAAGCGUGGGGGAGCAAACAGGAUUAGAUACCCUGGUAGUCCACGCCGUAAACGAUGUCUACUAGCCGUUGGGAGACUUGAUCUCUUAGUGGCGCAGUUAACGCGAUAAGUAGACCGCCUGGGGAGUACGGGCCGCAAGGUUAAAACUCAAAUG
rnacentral:rRNA from 1 species